CAUGACUCCACAUACUUUUGUUUGCACGUCUUUCCAGAUUGCCACAAGCAAUAUGGCGGCGACGUUGGCGUACGACCCGGCUAAGCGGUUUCUACAUAUGCCUGGAUAUGUCUAUGCUAAAAACUAUUAGCACACACCAACUGUCAGUCAUUGUUAGCAUUAAGGGAGCUUACCAUUUGUUUGGUUCCACACAUGUCGAGGUCGUAUUCAAAGUUAAUGUAAUCCCGUGUAGAUGUACUGGCUCGGCACGUCCCUAGUUUGACAUGAGACUGUAGUUUAUUAUCGGUGCCAAAAACGCUCCUCUCCACCUGCACGAGCAUCUUGUUCUGCAGGCACGAGGUUCUCACGGAAUCACCCGAGACGUUUGGCGGACUGGUUUUUGGUCGGACCGGGAGCAGGACCUCACGAACGGGCUCAGGUAAAGGUUCCUUCCCGGUUCCCCUGACUGGGGAGAAAUGCUCCUUCUCCACGAGCGGCAGCCGUGAGUCCACAGACACUGGGAGGUGCAGGUAGGGUGGAGGUAAGAGUGGCGUUUCUCUCCGGGAGACUUCUUUCAUGGCCUGGCGGGGCUGAGUUAAAGCACCAACCGUUGGUGUUGUUAUCAACAUAAAUGACAACGUGACAAUAAGUGAACAAUGAACCAUAACCGGAACUUUUGGUCGACGAUUACAAGUUUGUGGUAAAUUCUAAGAUUAGAAACUGAACCUUCAUCUCAGAGUGUUUUCAUGUGUGAUUCUGGGGAGUCCAAUCAACAGCAUUUGUUGACUGACCGAAACACCUGUUGGAAAAAGGCGGGUUAAAACAAACUGACGCCUCAUGCUGGUGGGUUCGAUGUCAACGGUUCCCAAAGUGUGGGUCGGGACCCCCCUGCUCGGCUGGAGAGGCAGACCUGCUCCCGGGGACAUUUGAUGGGGAAUCGGAUGCAGUCUAUAGCCUUAAAGGACACAAGAGAAGGGUUUCUGGUUUCAGCACGCCCCCUGCUGGAGAAAAGAUGGCAUGGCCCGCUUGUCCACCUGCUGCCGCCUCAUGCGUGUGACAGCGGCGUCUACCUGAGCUGCUGCUCUUUUGCCGUGCUGGUCGUCCAGCAGCUGCAGACAGGCGCGCUGUAGCCUCACCAGCUCCCCCUCAUUGGAGUGGACGGCCUCCCGGUCCUCCCCUCAGAGCUCCUCCUGUUGAUGUUCAGAUGAGUCCUGAGGCUUCGAAGCAUCCUCUCCAGGUGACCCCUCUCCCUCUCCAGCUUGAUGCCCUCCUCCCUCACCUUGCCAGCUUGCCUGCGCAGCUGACCCUCCACCUCCCGGACUCUCCGCAUGUACUCACCUGCCACGGCAACACUGGUUCCAGCACACUGCUCACGCAAGCUGGUAGGAGGGAAAGGGGCCACAAAUGUCCUCUGGGAGCCACCUCGAAACUUCAGACAAAGAUAGACUGUAAUGUCUAAAUGACAAAACUAGUGUGGAGUACAUUCCCUCAAAUACUGUGUAGGGUAUACAACACAAUACUGCUACCCCUCCAUAUUUCACAAUGCACUUUUAACUUGAUGUAUUAGAUAUUAUCUUUUGUUUAUAGUUACAUUAUAUAGGCUUUUCUUUUUACAAAUCAUGUGGAUGUUCUUAAGACUGACUGCUCAUGACUAAAUAAAGUAAUACAAUUGGACAGCUCUUAAUGUUAGGAUCAGCUUUGAACACACCUCAUCUUAGGUUAUUUUUUAGCUUUAAACUUUAAAGUUUCUUGUCUAUUUCUACCUUUUUAGUUUGGAAGAACAACCUGCAGAUGUUUUAUUAUUGUCACUUAAGAUGCUGCCUCCCCUCAGUUUUCAGUUUCCAUGUGGGCUAAAGGAAGUCAGCUGAAAUAUAUCUGUUUGCAAGCCUGUGUUUGUCUUACAAUUGAUCCUGUAGUUUGGGGUCUCGACAAAGUCUUAUUGCAAAUGCAGUCACGACUUUCUUCCACUUUUUCCCUUGUGAUCUUAUCUCCUGUGGUUUCCGCUGUGCUGUCUGGUUGCUCGGGAGUCAAUAAACUUGCGGAGGCGCUGCAGAUCCGGGUCCGUCCUCCUGCCCGAGUCUGCCGCACCAGGCGCUCCGCUCGCCGGAUGGAGCGAACCGUGCCAUCUCGCCAAGACCUCGGUCCAAUGGUGAUAGAGCUGAGAGGUACUGACUGGACCUGCAUUCCUACACGUGCACUUUAAAUGAUAUCCAGUUAAACGGGACUAUAAUCGAUCACUCCUCCAAAUACUCUAUGUCCACAUGAUGCAUCCCGGUCUCGCCUGACUCUGUGUAAGGAUCUGAGCUCCAUAGCAACUGUUCUUGAAGUAACAAGAAACUCAAAGCUGUUCAGUGAUUGGGUGGUGAGGAGGAGACAGGAGGCACUGACAUUCAACACGGUUUACUUGCCCCCCGGUUCAGGUUCAGAGGUUACAUUCCCAUUCAUUUCCCCCAUAGAUAAAUUACUGAAGAGGAUUAGGGCCACUGGAAGAUUUUUUUUUUUUAAGGACAUGUCUUUUUAUUAUU